rnacentral:rRNA from 1 species
AACGAACGCUGGCGGCAGGCUUAACACAUGCAAGUCGAGCGCGUAGCAAUACGAGCGGCAGACGGGUGAGUAACGCGUGGGAAUCUACCCAACCCUACGGAAUAACGCAUGGAAACGUGUGCUAAUACCGUAUACGCCCUUUGGGGGAAAGAUUUAUCGGGGAUGGAUGAGCCCGCGUUGGAUUAGCUAGUUGGUGGGGUAAAGGCCUACCAAGGCGACGAUCCAUAGCUGGUCUGAGAGGAUGAUCAGCCACAUUGGGACUGAGACACGGCCCAAACUCCUACGGGAGGCAGCAGUGGGGAAUAUUGGACAAUGGGCGCAAGCCUGAUCCAGCCAUGCCGCGUGAGUGAUGAAGGCCCUAGGGUUGUAAACUGCUUUGUACGGAACGAAACGGUGAGCUCUAAUACAGUUUGCUAAUGACGGUACCGUAAGAAUAAGCACCGGCUAACUACGUGCCAGCAGCCGCGGU